rnacentral:rRNA from 1 species
GUCCAGACUCCUACGGGAGGCAGCAGUGGGGAAUAUUGCACAAUGGGGGAAGCCCUGAUGCAGCGACGCCGCGUGAGUGAAGAAGUAUUUCGGUAUGUAAAGCUCUAUCAGCAGGGAAGAUAAUGACGGUACCUGAGUAAGAAGCCCCGGCUAACUACGUGCCAGCAGCCGCGGUAAUACGUAGGGGGCAAGCGUUAUCCGGAUUUACUGGGUGUAAAGGGAGCGUAGACGGCAUGGCAAGUCUGAAGUGAAAGCCCGGGGCUCAACCGCGGGACUGCUUUGGAAACUGUUAAGCUGGAGUGCAGGAGAGGUAAGUGGAAUUCCUAGUGUAGCGGUGAAAUGCGUAGAUAUUAGGAGGAACACCAGUGGCGAAGGCGACUUACUGGACUGUAACUGACGUUGAGGCACGAAAGUGUGGGGAGCAAACAGGAUUAGAUACCCCAGUAC